rnacentral:lncRNA from 10 species
UAAAAAUAAUUUCAUACUUACAGAAAAACAGCAAGAUUAUUAAAAAGAACUUAAUAAUGCUUAUAAUAGUAUGUAAUUCAAAUGAAAAUGAGUAGUAGAUAUGAAAAUCUAGUUCAGAAAGAAACAAAUCCAAAUGGCUCCUCUUAGAGGAAAGAGAGUAAAACGAACCACAUUUCACAGGCAUAGGCAUGAUGAAGAAGUCUCUGAAUAUUUGCUUUCAGUAAUACAUUUCCAAAAUUAUUAUCAUAAGUAUUUUGCAUAGUUAUUCCACCUAACAGAUGCAUGAAAGAAAGGCACAUUAUAUUAAAAAUCAUUUAUAUAAACUGAUGCAUUUUGAAUGUGAGGAACAAUUUUAGUGAAUACUAAAAGGGACAAAAUAUUCUGCAAAAAUUAAAGCAAAAGCAUCUUUGGAGCAAUUCAGACUUGAAUAUUUAGGAACAAUGAAAUGCUAUGUUUAGCUGACCUAGAAUUCUGAAUAAUUCCAAUUAACUUGAUGUUAUAAAGGUCAAACUUCUUGCUUGAAAAAUAAACUUUGUGUUAAAUAUCAGAGCUCCCAUCAAAUUCUUCUAAAUUUUUUUCCAUUCUUUUCCCUCCAAGGAAAGAAAGCAAUAAACAGAAAAAACAAGUAUCUUAGUAAUUACCAUUCAUAAAUAGGGGUAUUAUCUAUUUAA